rnacentral:tRNA from 1 species
UUAAUUGAAGCCAAAAAGAGGCGUAUCACUGUUAAUGAUAUAACUGGGUAUUUAACCCCAAUUAAG